rnacentral:rRNA from 1 species
CGUAGGUGGCAGGCGUUGUCCGGAGUUACUGGGUGUAAAGGGCGUGUAGGCGGGUGAUCAAGUCAGAUGUGAAAUUCCAUGGCUCAACUGUGGCGCUGCAUCUGAAACUGGUCAUCUUGAGUGAUGGAGAGGAAAGUGGAAUUCCUAGUGUAGCGGUGAAAUGCGUAGAUAUUAGGAGGAACACCAGUGGCGAAGGCGACUUUCUGGACAUUAACUGACGCUGAGGCGCGAAAGCGUGGGGAGCAAACAGGAUUAGAUACCCUGGUAGUCCACGCUGUAAACGAUGGAUACUAGGUGUAGGAGGUAUCGACCCCUUCUGUGCCGGAGUUAACACAAUAAGUAUCCCACCUGGGGAGUACGGCCGCAAGGUUG